AUGAGGUCGGCGAUUUCUCUCAGUUUGUUGCUGACUUUCUUAUCCCGAGGUGCCCAGUCGGAUGUUGUGUUGACUCAGCCGGACGCAGAGACCGGGCGUCCCGGAGGCACCCUGAGACUGACCUGUAAAACCAGCGGCUUCAAUCUUGGCAGUUACUACAUGGGCUGGAUCCGACAGGUUCCCGGACAGGGGCUGGAGUUGUUGAUUUAUUACCAUACUUCAUCCAGCAGCUACUUCGCUCCAGGAAUUAAGAAUCGAUUUACUGCUUCCAAAGACACUUCAAGGAACAUCUUCUCCUUGGACAUGACGAGCCUGAAGACUGAAGACACCGCCAUCUACUACUGUGCAAAACACUCACAGCGAGAGGAACCAGGGCUGGGCCUGAACAAAAACAGAUCGAGAGGAAACUGGGGACAAGGGACGGUGGUGACGGUGACUGCAGCGACACCGUCUUCGCCCACUCUCUACAGCCUGAUCUCCUCCUGUCAGCAACACCAUCCCGACGGCUCCGUCACCUACGGCUGUUUGGCGAUGGACUAUUCCCCAGAAAUCACCAGCCUGACCUGGAAGAAAGAUGGGCAGCCGAUCACCACUGGAUUUCAGACUUACCCGUCGGUGAGAAACCAGAAGGGAACCUUCACCCUGAGCAGCCAAUUAACCAUCACCGAAUCAGAGGGGGAUUGCAGCAAAAUCAACUGUGAGGUUCAACACAGCGGCUCAGACAAGAGCAUUAGAAUGCAAUGCCCUGAAACCUUCCCUCCAACUGUUCUCCUCACCGUGAGUUCCCGGGAAGAAAUCACAACCAACAAAUUUGCAACCGCCGUCUGUUCAAUCAUCGAUUUCCGUCCAAGUUCAAUCACCGUGAAGUGGCUGAAGAAUGGACAACCCAUGGAUUCAGGAAUUGUCACCUCUCCCGCCUUUGAAGUGAACGGGAACUUCUCGGCGACCAGUCGGCUGAAAGUCUCCGCUGGGGAAUGGUUCACCGACGCGGUCUAUACCUGUCAGGUCACUCACGAAGGGGUCACCCAAAGUCGAAACGCCACUAAGUGUGGGGAACAUUCCAACUGCAGCGAUCCCACAAAUACUCUACUGCCACCGCCAAUAGAACAGGUCUUACUGGAGGCGACGGUGACAUUAACCUGCAUCGUUUCUAAUGCCCCUUAUGGAGUCCUCGUGUCCUGGACCCAAGAAAAGAAGCCUUUGAAAUCAGAGAUUGCCGUCCAACCGGGAGAGGAUCACAACGGCGUGGUCAGCAACGUAAACAUCUCGACACAAGCCUGGCUGAGUGGGGCUGAGUUCUACUGCGUGGUGAACCAUCAGGAUCUGCCGACUCCUUUAAGAAGUUCUAUCCACAAGGAACCAGUUAAAGAUCCGCGGGAACCGUCCGUGUCUGUCCUCCUGCCCUCGGCAGAAGAUGUCUCCGCUCAGAGAUUCAUCUCCUUGAGCUGCUUAGUGAGAGGUUUCUCCCCGCGAGAGAUCUUCGUCAAGUGGACCGUCAAUGACAAGCCGGUGAAUCCCGGAAACUACAAGAACACCGAGGUGGUGGCGGAGAACGGCAAUCGCUCCUUCUUCAUGUACAGCCUGUUAUCCAUUGCAGCGGAGGAGUGGGCCAGCGGCGCUUCUUACUCCUGUGUGGCGGGACAUGAAGCGAUCCCCUUGAAGAUCAUCAACAGAACGGUUGAUAAAUCCAGCGGUAAACCGAGUUUUGUGAACAUUUCUCUUGCACUGAUGGACACCGUUAAUUCAUGUCAAUGAGAAUCUCUCGGUUACAUUUCAAACUUCAAUAAAAAAAUAAUAAAGUC